GACAGAGGUGCCGAGCGUUAGGCGGAAUCACUGGGCUUAAAGCGUGUGUAGGCGGACCCGUCAGUGUCUUGUGAAAUCCCACGGCUCAACCGUGGAACGGCUGGGCAUACUGCGGGUCUUGAGACACCUAGGGGCGAGCGGAACAGGCGGUGGAGCGGUGAAAUGCGUAGAUAUCGGGAGGAACACCGGUGGCGAAGGCGACCAUCUGGACGGAUACUGACGCUGAGACGCGAAAGCGUGGGUAGCAAACAGG
rnacentral:rRNA from 1 species